CCUAGCCUAUAUUUAUUUCUACUUGGAAAUUUCAGCUGAUCAUGUGGCCUACAUUUUGCCAAGAUGUCGUCUCUUUUUCCUGUACGUACCGGCUGUACGUUUUGUAAGAAACACUUCAGAUAAACAGUCUGGUAAAGUCUGAGCUUCGUCAUUGCUGCCCAAUGUACACAUGGAUUUGAUGCAGCCAGCUGGUAAAGGGUGUCCCUCUUCUACCUGUACUGCUGUGUGUUUCUUCAAAUGAAGAAACAUGAACAACUGAAGUUUAGUGUUUUAUGUUCGCGUAGUUGCUGUCCGCUGUGGAGCGUUGUUGAAGCCUAUGCUGGUGAAAGAGCUUAUUUCUACAUCAAGUUCAAUUGGCCGUUCCUUGGUGCUGAUUUUUUACCGAAGGUGUAUCAUAUUUUGUUAAAUUAUGGUCAUCGUUACUAUUGCAGUUUACCGUAUAUAAGUUCAGAAGCAACAAAAAAAAAAUGGGAAGUUCAUGUCAAACAGAUAAUAAACAUGUUUUUGGGGUUGGGAAAGUAAAGUGGUGGAUGUUGGAGGGGGAUAUUUCAAGUAUGGAUAGAAAUUCAGUUAAUUUAUAACCCUACAAAUGUAUCCCUACCAAUUAAUCUCCAAACCCCAAAAAUAUAUACCUUCCAAUCCUUCAAACCCUGUAAAUAUACACCUACCAACCCUUAAAUCUAUACCCUUAACCCUAUAAACCAAUGUUAAACCUUAACCAUGUAAUAUCUAUAAUAAAUAAAAAAAAAUACAUUAUAUGAACAAGU